rnacentral:rRNA from 1 species
AUUGAACGCUGGCGGCAGGCCUAACACAUGCAAGUCGAGCGGAUGAAGGGAGCUUGCUCCUGGAUUCAGCGGCGGACGGGUGAGUAAUGCCUAGGAAUCUGCCUGGUAGUGGGGGAUAACGUCCGGAAACGGGCGCUAAUACCGCAUACGUCCUGAGGGAGAAAGUGGGGGAUCUUCGGACCUCACGCUAUCAGAUGAGCCUAGGUCGGAUUAGCUAGUUGGUGGGGUAAAGGCCUACCAAGGCGACGGUCCGUAACUGGUCUGAGAGGAUGAUCAGUCACACUGGAACUGAGACACGGUCCAGACUCCUACGGGAGGCAGCAGUGGGGAAUAUUGGACAAUGGGCGAAAGCCUGAUCCAGCCAGGCCGCGUGUGUGAAGAAGGUCUUCGGAUUGUAAAGCACUUUAAGUUGGGAGGAAGGGCAGUAAGUUAAUACCUUGCUGUUUUGACGUUACCAACAGAAUAAGCACCGGCUAACUUCGUG